rnacentral:rRNA from 1 species
AGCUCCAAUAGCGUAUAUUAAAGUUGUUGCGGUUAACUUUGUAGUUUUACUGCUUUGUAGGCUGUGCUUUUGCUGGAGGUUUAGGGGUGCUCUUGAUCGAGUGUCUCUGGAUGCCAGCAGGUUUACUUUGAAAAAAUUAGAGUGCUCAAAGCAGGCUAAAAUGCCUGAAUAUUCGUGCAUGGAAUAAUAGAAUAGGAUGUCGAUCCUAUUUUGUUGGUUUUCGGGACUCGACAUAAUGAUAAAUAGGGACAGUCGGGGGCAUUUGUAUUCAAACGACAGAGGUGAAAUUCUUGGACCGUUUGAAGACAAACUACUGCGAAAGCAUUUGCCAAGAAUGUUUUCA